CCACAUAGCAUAACUCAAUCCUGCAAAUGAGCUCUGGAGAUAAGAAAGUCACACCUCAGACCUUUCCCUUGUGGACCUUAUGGCUGAAAACGGCUACUACAGACCUGUGUCCAUGUUCCAGGCAUGAGGAAAGGAAGGAUCAAAAUCAAAGGGACACCACCAGCUGAGCCCACCCCUUCCAAGCUUUCUUGGGAGUUACUUCUGAUGAUUUUUGCUUACAUCCCUUAAGCCAGAACUGUGUCCGUUGGCCAUGUCUAGCUUCUACAAAGGCUGAGAAAUUAAUAUUUUAAAACUAGGCUCAUUACUGGCUCCCCCCCAAUUGUAGAUUAAACCUUAGGGUCAAUACUGCUUCAACCCAAUCUCUCGCACCAGCUAAAUUACAACACUGCCCUGAGAAUCCGUGUUUAGACUGAUCCUCACUUUACCAUCUUCCUUCAGGAGCAAGAUUAAACAUGUGUUUUAAACAAGCACUAUUUUCUCAUAUAAAACUAGGCUGUGCUUCUUCCAUUAAAACAAAAUUAAAAAGUAGAAGAAAAAGUUUGCUGUGCUGAGAUGUGGUUAUAUUCAGGGAGCUGCUGGGGGUAACUUAGUCAUCUACCAAAACUCCAGCCGGUGAAAAAACUGGAUUGGACUUGGAAGAACAUACCUCCCUAUACCUGGAUCCAAAUUUCAUUCUUCAUCAUCUGAAAUUGGCAAAACCUGGGCCCAAACUUCGGCAACCCUUUCUUGAGUAGACAACUGAAGCCUAAAGUGUCUGACUUUGUGGUUAUUGGAGAGGUCAGAAAAGCUGAACCUCUUCUUCCUAUAGUGAGAAGUGGACCUUGAACCAUAGAACCUGAUGGGUUAAACUUUGGAAGGAUGUGCUGUAAACACUGAGUUGAAGUCAGGAGAGGAGGAUGUAGUCAUAACUUGAAAGUGAUUUAUCACGAGGUAUUCCUAAGAAAAAAUGGGCAGGUGAGUGGGAAAGGAAGGCCCAGAAGAGGAAGAAACAAACCAAGUGAGAAGCAUCAGAUGAAGUCCCACACAGCAUAACUCGAUCCUGCAAAUGAGCUCUGGACAUAAGAAAGUCACACCUCAGAAUUACCCUGAUCAGGCACAGAGGACUUGGAGUCUGAUGGACUGCCCUGUGGAGAACAUAAAUUCCUAAACACUUUAGCUCCCUAGAUGUGUAAAUAAAGUGGGUUUUGAUAGUCAAGGGCAGCUCUCCAACAAAAAAUUGUAGGUGCCUGCUAUCUUCUGGGAAUAAAAACACAUUGACA